GAUGAACGCUGGCGGCGUGCCUAAUACAUGCAAGUCGAGCGAACGGACGAGAAGCUUGCCUUUCUGAUGUUAGCGGCGGACGGGUGAGUAACACGUGGAUAACCUACCUAUAAGACUGGGAUAACUUCGGGAAACCGGAGCUAAUACCGGAUAAUAUUUUGAACCGCAUGGUUCAAAAGUGAAAGACGGUCUUGCUGUCACUUAUAGAUGGAUCCGCGCUGCAUUAGCUAGUUGGUAAGGUAACGGCUUACCAAGGCAACGAUGCAUAGCCGACCUGAGAGGGUGAUCGGCCACACUGGAAGUGAGACACGGUCCAGACUCCUACGGGAGGCAGCAGUAGGGAAUCUUCCGCAAUGGGCGAAAGCCUGACGGAGCAACGCCGCGUGAGUGAUGAAGGUCUUCGGAUCGUAAAACUCUGUUAUUAGGGAAGAACAUAUGUGUAAGUAACUGUGCACAUCUUGACGGUACCUAAUCAGAAAGCCACGGCUAACUACGUG
rnacentral:rRNA from 1 species